rnacentral:rRNA from 1 species
AAUAUCAAAGGUGAGCCAGUACAGGAUGGACCCGCGUCUGAUUAGCUAGUUGGUAAGGUAACGGCUUACCAAGGCGACGAUCAGUAGCCGACCGGAGAGGGUGAUCGGCCACAUUGGAACUGAGACACGGUCCAAACUCCUACGGGAGGCAGCAGUGGGGAAUAUUGCACAAUGGGCGAAAGCCUGAUGCAGCAACGCCGCGUGAGUGAUGAAGGCCUUCG